GGGUCGUUAGCUCAGUGGUAGAGUAAUGGAUUCUUAAUCCAUCUGUCGCAGGUUCGAUACCUGCACGACUCA
rnacentral:tRNA from 1 species